GACGAACGCUGGCGGCGUGCUUAACACAUGCAAGUCGAACGGAAAGGCCCUGCUUUUGUGGGGUGCUCGAGUGGCGAACGGGUGAGUAACACGUGAGUAACCUGCCCUUGACUUUGGGAUAACUCCAGGAAACUGGGGCUAAUACCGGAUAGGAGCUCCUGCUGCAUGGUGGGGGUUGGAAAGUUUCGGCGGUUGGGGAUGGACUCGCGGCUUAUCAGCCUGUUGGUGGGGUAGUGGCGUACCAAGGCUUUGACGGGUAGCCGGCCUGAGAGGGUGACCGGCCACAUUGGGACUGAGAUACGGCCCAGACUCCUACGGGAGGCAGCAGUGGGGAAUAUUGCACAAUGGGCGGAGGCCUGAUGCAGCAACGCCGCGUGCGGGAUGACGGCCUUCGGGUUGUAAACCGCUUUCGCCUGUGACGAAGCGUGAGUGACGGUAAUGGGUAAAGAAGCACCGGCUAACUACGUG
rnacentral:rRNA from 1 species